rnacentral:rRNA from 1 species
AGCGUUGUUCGGAAUUACUGGGCGUAAAGCGUACGUAGGCGGAUCGUUAAGUUAGGGGUGAAAUCCCGAGGCUCAACCUCGGAACUGCCUCUGAUACUGGCGAUCUUGAGUCCGGGAGAGGUGAGUGGAACUCCUAGUGUAG